rnacentral:rRNA from 1 species
GGAUUAGAUACCCUGGUAGUCCACGCUGUAAACGAUGAGAACUAGCCGUUGGAUCGUUAAAGAUUUAGUGGCGCAGCUAACGCAAUAAGUUCUCCGCCUGGGGAGUACGGCCGCAAGGUUAAAACUCAAAUGAAUUGACGGGGGCCCGCACAAGCGGUGGAGCAUGUGGUUUAAUUCGAAGCAACGCGAAGAACCUUACCUACCCUUGACAUCCUGAGAAUUUUGUAGAGAUACGAAAGUGCCUUCGGGAGCUCAGUGACAGGUGCUGCAUGGCUGUCGUCAGCUCGUGCUG